rnacentral:rRNA from 1 species
GACGAACGCUGGCGGCGUGCUUAACACAUGCAAGUCGAGCGGUAAGGCCCUUUCGGGGGUACACGAGCGGCGAACGGGUGAGUAACACGUGGGUGACCUGCCCUCAGCUCUGGGAUAAGCCUGGGAAACCGGGUCUAAUACCGGAUAUGACUCCAUGACGCAUGUUGUGGGGUGGAAAGCCUUGUGCGGCUGAGGAUGGGCCCGCGGCCUAUCAGCUUGGUUGGGUGGGGUGAUGGCCUACCAAGGCGACGACGGGUAGCCGGCCUGAGAGGGCGACCGGCCACACUGGGACUGAGACACGGCCCAGACUCCGUACGGGAGGCAGCAGUGGGGAAUCUUGCGCAAGUGGGACGAAACGCCUGACGCAGCGACGCCGCGUGA